rnacentral:rRNA from 1 species
GACGGAGGAUGUAAGCGUUAUCCGGAAUGAUUGGGCGUAAAGCGUCUGUAGGUAGCUUUUCAAGUCCGCUGUCAAGUCGCAGGGCUCAACCCUGUAUAGGCAGUGGAACUACCAAGCUGGAGUACGUUAGGGUCAGAGGGAAUUUUCGGUGGAGUAGUGAAAUACAUAGAGAUCGAAAAGAACACCAAUGGCGAAAGCACUCUACUAGGCCGACACUGACACUGAGAGACGAAAGCUAGGGGAGCAAACGGG